rnacentral:rRNA from 1 species
UAGGGAAUCUUCCGCAAUGGGCGAAAGCCUGACGGAGCAACGCCGCGUGAGUGAUGAAGGUCUUCGGAUCGUAAAACUCUGUUAUUAGGGAAGAACAAAUGUGUAAGUAACUAUGCACGUCUUGACGGUACCUAAUCAGAAAGCCACGGCUAACUACGUGCCAGCAUCCGCGGUAUUACGUAGGUGGCAAGCGUUAUCCGGAAUUAUUGGGCGUAAAGCGCGCGUAGGCGGUUUUUUAAGUCUGAUGUGAAAGCCCACGGCUCAACAGUGGAGGGUCAUUGGAAACUGGAAAACUGGAGUGCAGAAGAGGAAAGUGGAAUUCCAUGUGUAGCGGUGAAAUGCGCAGAGAUAUGGAGGAACACCAGUGGCGAAGGCGACUUUCUGGUCUGUAACUGACGCUGAUGUGCGAAAGCGUGGGGAUCAAACAGG